rnacentral:piRNA from 1 species
UGAGAGUAGUCCUGCCUUCCGGGUGCACAC